rnacentral:rRNA from 1 species
GAUGAACGCUGGCGGCGUGCCUAAUACAUGCAAGUCGAGCGAACAGACGAGGAGCUUGCUCCUCUGACGUUAGCGGCGGACGGGUGAGUAACACGUGGAUAACCUACCUAUAAGACUGGGAUAACUUCGGGAAACCGGAGCUAAUACCGGAUAAUAUAUUGAACCGCAUGGUUCAAUAGUGAAAGACGGUUUUGCUGUCACUUAUAGAUGGAUCCGCGCCGCAUUAGCUAGUUGGUAAGGUAACGGCUUACCAAGGCGACGAUGCGUAGCCGACCUGAGAGGGUGAUCGGCCACACUGGAACUGAGACACGGUCCAGACUCCUACGGGAGGCAGCAGUAGGGAAUCUUCCGCAAUGGGCGAAAGCCUGACGGAGCAACGCCGCGUGAGUGAUGAAGGUCUUCGGAUCGUAAAACUCUGUUAUUAGGGAAGAACAAAUGUGUAGGUAACUAUGCACGACUUGACGGUACCUAAUCAGAAAGCCACGGCUAACUACGUG